AAGCCUAAAGGCGAAAUGAAAGUGAACGGUCGGCCUUUGCGUCGACGGAGGGAGGAUGGCUCGCGUUACGAUGCGAGCCCGCACUCCCGGGGCGUCUCGUGUUCUCAUUGCGAGCAGAGGCGCACCCAGAGCGUACACGUUGGGACCCGAAAGAUGGUGAACUAUGCCUGGUCAGGACGAAGUCAGGGGAAACCCUGAUGGAGGUCCGUAGCGAUUCUGACGUGCAAAUCGAUCGUCGGAACUGGGUAUAGGGGCGAAAGACUAAUCGAACCAUCUAGUAGCUGGUUCCCUCCGAAG
rnacentral:rRNA from 1 species